CCUACGGGUGGCAGCAGUGGGGGAUAUUGCACAAUGGGGGAAACCCUGAUGCAGCGACGCCGCGUGUGCGAAGAAGUAUUUCGGUAUGUAAAGCCCUAUCAGCAGGGAAGAAGAAAUUACGGUACCUGAGUAAGAAGCACCGGCUAAAUACGUGCCAGCAGCCGCGGUAACACGGAGGGUGCAAGCGUUAUCCGGAUUUACUGGGGGUAAAGGGAGCGCAGGCGGCACGGUAAGCCUGAUGUGAAAGCCCUGGGACUAACCGGGGGACUGCAUUGGGAACUACCGGGCUGGAGUGCCGGAGAGGGAGGCAGAAUUCCUGGUGUAGCGGUGAAAUGCGUAGAGAUUAGGAGGAACACCAGUGGCGAAGGCGGCCUACUGGACGGUGACUGACGCUGAGGCUCGAAAGCGUGGGGAGCAAACAGGAUUAGAUACCCUAGUAGUC
rnacentral:rRNA from 1 species